AUCGCUUCUCGGCCUUUUGGCUAAGAUCAAGUGUAGUAUCUGUUCUUAUCAGAGUAAUAUCUGAUACGUCCCCCAUCUGGGGACCACAAAUUAAAUUGCUUUUUGGAAUAGGGAUUUGGAAAAGGGGCUUGCCCUGUUCACUCCACGCAUCGACCUAAUAUAGCAGUAUCUCCAGUCAUGGUGCACCCCCU